CAGCAGGCAUCAGCUGUGUAGCCGAUUCAUCAUAGGGUCCAAUGAGCAGCAAUAGGUGAGUCAAGGAGCCGUUCAGUAGUCGCUACUAGGCUAGGUGAGCAGGAGACAUGGCGUUCAGAAAGCAAGUGGGAUGGGCUAGCAGAGGGGUCUUCAGCGACAUUGCAACGGAAAAGCCUGUUGAAACCACAUCGGACGAUUACAUCCGCAGACCAGUCGUGAUGGAUCGGCGGGGCUAAGUGUCAACAAUAAAGGGUCCAGGCCAAUUGGCAGAAGAGAUUUAGCAGCAGCACCACCACUGUCAUCCUGGACGGGGAGCGACGAAUCUGAGUCUGGGUCCAAGAUAGUAGGGUCUUCGCCGGCAUUGUUUGGAGGUGUGGCUAGGCCUGAUGCGACCACCCGUUCUUGUCCAACCAGAGAGAUGUCAUCAUCGGUGGAAGCGCAUGGCUUUGACUCUUUGCUGCUAGAAUCAGCGAACAGGGGCUCAUCGUUGUCGAUUAAUGAAUGGCCUGUCCUCGUGGGCUUGUCACACCGGCUGAUGGACAUUGCUGCACACUGAUGCAUUUCACCAGCGAAUUUCUUUGGUUUAGAAAUUAGGCCUCUUUUCUUAUUGUUGUUUUAAAAUAUUAUCUUCCCGAUAUUUUUGGUAUCUUAGACAUAGUAAGAGCAUUAUUUAAAUCUCUAUAGAUUACCUUUAGCUAAAAUGAUAUGCACUAGUAGUAGCUAGCUAACGUUAACAGGCUAGGUUAAUCACUUAUUGUCUUCCUCACACACAAACUACAAAAUUAAAUGCAAUAAUUUAUUUGGCAGAUUCAUUUGUAUUAAUGUUUCAUAAAUGGAUAAUCCCAUAUAAACACACGCAUCACCUUAGCUACCAAGGAUAGUUGGAGUGAACUUCGGGAGAAGAGGGAAUGGGGUGGGGAACUGCAGCAACGCUAUGAGCUGGUGGCUGGGGUGCUGCAGGUGGUGUUGUAGCCGAUCAGGGGCGCCCGAAGAGCGGCAGCCAAGUGUCAAAAUGCCUAAUGGGAGGGCCGGCCCUGCUCAUCACCCUGCACUUUCACAAUCCUGUGAAGUUCAUCAUAAUUUAUUGCAUCUGUAGUCUAAUAAACUGCAUGCUUUCCAGAGUUGUAGUGGGAAGACUACACAACAAAUCAUAGUGUGACUCCCAAAUUUACUUCGAUAUGAUCGGGAAGUAGUUUGGGGGUGGGGGUACUGCGAUUUUUAUUUGCUAUUAUUUUUAUUUAUUUUUAUUGUUUACCUAAAUGUAUUUCUAUUAAGUCUUUACAUUUGUAACUUGAGUCUGUAAAUUAUCUGUAAAAAAAAACAGUUAAUUUGAUAAUAAUAAAAAUGCUUGCAUGAUA